AGAGUUUGAUCAUGGCUCAGGACGAACGCUGGCGGCAGGCUUAACACAUGCAAGUCGAACGGGGUGCCCGACUUCGGUUGGAACACCUAGUGGCGAACGGGUGAGUAACGCGUGGGGACCUACCUUUUGGUUCGGAAUAACCUCGGGAAACCGUGGCUAAUNCCGAAUAAGCCCUUCGGGGGAAAGAUUUAUCGCCGAAAGAUGGACCCGCGACCGAUUAGGUAGUUGGUGAGGUAACGGCUCACCAAGCCCGCGAUCGGUAGCUGGUCUGAGAGGAUGAUCAGCCACACUGGGACUGAGACCCGGCCCAGACUCCUACGGGAGGCAGCAGUGGGGAAUUUUGGACAAUGGGGGAAACCCUGAUCCAGCCAUGCCGCGUGAGUGAAGAAGGCCUUCGGGUUGUAAAACUCUUCACCGGGCG
rnacentral:rRNA from 1 species